AUUGAACGCUGGCGGCGUGCUUAACACAUGCAAGUCGAUCGGUAACAGGUGUAGCAAUACAUGCUGACGAGAGGCGGACGGGUGAGUAAUGCUUGGGAAUCUGCCUAUUAGUGGGGGACAACCCGGGGAAACUCGGGCUAAUACCGCAUACGCUCUACGGAGGAAAGCCGGGGACCGCAAGGCCUGGCGCUAAUAGAUGAGCCCAAGUCGGAUUAGCUAGUUGGUAGGGUAACGGCCUACCAAGGCGACAAUCCGUAGCUGGUCUGAGAGGACGACCAGCCACACCGGAACUGAGACACGGUCCGGACUCCUACGGGAGGCAGCAGUGGGGAAUAUUGGACAAUGGGGGCAACCCUGAUCCAGCGACGCCGCGUGGGUGAAGAAGGCCUGCGGGUUGUAAAGCCCUUUCGGUGGGGAAGAAAAGUCUCGACCUAAUACGUCGGGACCUUGACGUAACCCACUAAAGAAGCACCGGCUAACUCUGUGCCAGCCGCCGCUGU
rnacentral:rRNA from 1 species